GUCAAGGUGUCUGAUUUAAGUAGUAAACUGUAAAUUUACUUAAAGGUUCUACCUUCUUGACA
rnacentral:tRNA from 1 species